GACGAACGCGGCGGCGUGCCUAAUACAUGCAAGUAGAACGCUGAAGCUUGGUGCUUGCACCGAGCGGAUGAGUUGCGAACGGGUGAGUAACGCGUAGGUAACCUGCCUGGUAGCGGGGGAUAACUAUUGGAAACGAUAGCUAAUACCGCAUAAGAGUAGAUGUUGCAUGACAUUUGCUUAAAAGGUGCAAUUGCAUCACUACCAGAUGGACCUGCGUUGUAUUAGCUAGUUGGUGAGGUAACGGCUCACCAAGGCGACGAUACAUAGCCGACCUGAGAGGGUGAUCGGCCACACUGGGACUGAGACACGGCCCAGACUCCUACGGGAGGCAGCAGUAGGGAAUCUUCGGCAAUGGACGGAAGUCUGACCGAGCAACGCCGCGUGAGUGAAGAAGGUUUUCGGAUCGUAAAGCUCUGUUGUAAGAGAAGAAACGAGUGUGAGAGUGGAAAGUUCACAACU
rnacentral:rRNA from 1 species